GCGGGUGUAACUCAGUUGGUAGAGUACAAGCUUCCCAAGCUUGGAGUCGCGAGUUCGAAUCUCGUCACCCGCUCCA
rnacentral:tRNA from 1 species